rnacentral:rRNA from 1 species
UAUCUCUGUAGAGUCAGCAUAUCAAUAAGCGGAGGAAAAGAAACUAACUAGGAUUCCCUCAGUAACGGCGAGUGAAGCGGGAAGAGCUCAAAUUUGGAAAUCUUCAAGGUUCUACCUUGACGAAUUGUAGUUUAAAGAAGUGUUUUCUGUUGGAGUUUUGGUAAAAGUUCUUUGGAAUAGGACAUCAUAGAGGGUGAGAAUCCCGUAUUUGACCAUUACUUUCCAGCGUUGUGAUACACUUUCAAAGAGUCGGAUUGUUUGGGAAUGCAGUCCAAAAUGGGUGGUAAAUUUCAUCUAAAGCUAAAUACUGGCGAGAGACCGAUAGCGAACAAGUACCGUGAGGGAAAGAUGAAAAGAACUUUGAAAAGAGAGUUAAACAGUACGUGAAAUUGUCAAAAGGGAAGCGUUUGACACCAGUGUUGUUUUCUCGAAAAUCAAUUAAAAAAGGCAGGAUUUUGUGUUGUAUUGACUUUAUCAGCUUUCUGCACUCUUUUCUUGUCUUUUUUAAUGCACUUUUCGUUUAACAAGUCAACAUCAAUUUCUUUUGUUGUAAAAGGGUCAUUGGAAGGUGGCUUUCUUUUCGGAGAAAGUGUUUAUAGCCUUUGGCCUCUGCAAUCGGAGAGAUUGAGGUCUGCAGCGUAGAUCCUUCGGGGUUAGAUACAUUUGUGCUAAGUUAUAGCCUUUCAUAGACAACUUGUUGACUAUGAUCAGUCAUGUAGCUUACUCGCUUAUGCUAUUUUACCUACGCUUAGGAUGUUGACGAUCAGCUGAGCGCG